CAUGCAAGUCGGACGGGAUUUAGGAGCUUGCUCCUAAUGAGAGUGGCGCACGGGUGCGUAACACGUAUGUAACCUACCCUUGUCAGGGGGAUAGCCUCUCGAAAGAGAGAUUAAGACCGCAUAAAAUCACGAUGUGGCAUCACGAUGUGAUCAAAUAUUUAUAGGACAAGGAUGGGCAUGCGGAACAUUAGCUAGUUGGUAAGGUAACGGCUUACCAAGGCUACGAUGUUUAGGGGAUCUGAGAGGAUGACCCCCCACACUGGUACUGAGACACGGACCAGACUCCUACGGGAGGCAGCAGUAAGGAAUAUUGGUCAAUGGGCGGAAGCCUGAACCAGCCAUGCCGCGUGCAGGAAGACGGCCCUAUGGGUUGUAAACUGCUUUUGCAGGGGAAUAAACCUCAUUACGUGUAAUGAGCUGAAUGUACUCUGAGAAUAAGGAUCGGCUAACUCCGUGCCAGCAGCCGCGGUAAUACGGAGGAUCCAAGCGUUAUCCGGAUUUAUUGGGUUUAAAGGGUGCGUAGGUGGCUUUUUAAGUCAGGGGUGAAAGACGGUAGCUUAACUAUCGCAGUGCCUUUGAUACUGAAGAGCUUGAAUGAACUAGAGGUAGGCGGAAUGUGACAAGUAGCGGUGAAAUGCAUAGAUAUGUCACGAACAACAAUUGCGAANGCAGCUUACUAUGGUUUAAUUGACACUGA
rnacentral:rRNA from 1 species